AACGAACGCUGGCGGCGUGCUUAACACAUGCAAGUCGAACGUGAAAGACUUCGGUCGAGUAAAGUGGCGAACGGGUGAGUAACGCGUGGGUAAUCUGCCCUCGGGCGGGGAUAACCUCUCGAAAGGGGGCGUAAUACCGCAUGAGACCACGGCUUCUUGGAGCUGUGGGAAAAGGUGGGUCGCAAGACCAGCCACCUGAGGAUGAGCCCGCGUACCAUUAGGUAGUUGGUGGGGUAAUGGCCUACCAAGCCCGAGAUGGUUAGCUGGUCUGAGAGGACGAUCAGCCACACUGGGACUGAGACACGGCCCAGACUCCUACGGGAGGCAGCAGUGGGGGAAUAUUGCGCAAUGGGGGAAACCCUGACGCAGCAACGCCGCGUGUGUGAAGAAGGCC
rnacentral:rRNA from 1 species